CUUCAAAUGAGAAUUUAACCCUCAGGGAAAACAACCAUUUCUUACUCUAUUCCUUAGCUAAUUGAUGUUAUGGAGAAUCAACAGCAAUAUCAUCUAGAACCUAUCCAGGAAGAGGAGGAGGAGGAUGAGGAGGAAGAGAAAAAAGAGCAGGUGGUGGAUGAUCAGGAGAAAGAAGAGGAAGAGCCUCCACUAAAGGUAUGGAGGCCAAGCUGGCAGUCUCGUUCUCUGGACCAGAGUAGUGAUGCACAGCUGGAGAUCUACAAUCUCUCUCUACCAUAUCCAAAUAUCACCCAGACCACAAGUGACCUUGGGGAGGAGAUUACCCCACCAGGGUUCACACUCCCUAGUGAACGCAGAGCAAAGGCUGAUGGGGAAGUGGAUGGCGUUCAUCUGGAAGUAGAGCGCCAGCUAACCAUCAACAGAACAGUGAAACAAACAUCUCAUACAAGGAGGAGACUCUCCUGGUCAUCGUCAGAUGAAGAGCUACCAACACCACAACGACCACAGAAGAGGAGAUGGAAGGACGAGCUACCACCACCACAGAAGAAGAGGUGGCCUAGGGGACGGAGAAAGGUGCCAACUGCAGAGGAUAUUUUCCCACAAUGGCUGGUGAAUUUGAUGCACAACAUUGAGGAGGCUACAACACAUGAGCUGGUUGUUGAGUAGGCUUGCAACAUGACUAAAGGGCAUCCAAUAAAACAUUGCAAGAUGAUACAUACUGUGUGUCACUAAAGCAUACAAUGCAAGAGAAAUACAUGUAUCUGAUUCAAGAACAUGAAUAAAGGUUAU